rnacentral:rRNA from 1 species
GCGCGAAAACUUUACAAUGCUGGCAACAGCGAUAAGGGAACCUCGAGUGCCAGGUUACAAAUCUGGCUGUCGAGAUGCCUAAAAAGCAUUUCAUAGCAAGGGCCGGGCAAGACCGGUGCCAGCCGCCGCGGUAACACCGGCGGCUCGAGUGGUAACCGUUAUUAUUGGGUCUAAAGGGUCUGUAGCCGGCCGGAUAAGUCUCUUGAGAGAUCUGGCAGCUUAACUGUCUGGCUUUCAGGAGAUACUGUCUGGCUCGAGGCCGGGAGAGGUGAGAGGUACUUCAGGGGUAGGGGUGAAAUCUUGUAAUCCUUGAAGGACCACCAGUGGCGAAGGCGUCUCACCAGAACGGACCUGACGGCAAGGGACGAAAGCUAGGGGCACGAACC